rnacentral:lncRNA from 1 species
UCACAGUACUAUCAUAUAUUUUCCAUCUGGGACAUUAUAUUUUUUCCAUCGGAUCAUUCUAUUUUAUAGAAUUUAAAACAAAGUAGGCUUUCUAUUUUCAUUCCAUUAAGGGUCACAGUAUCAUCAUCCUCCUAUUUGUCGAACCGUAUAGGUUCAAAUACCAUAUAUAUACCAUCAGGGACAUUCUAUUUUUUCCAUCAGGGUCAUUCUAUUUUUUCCAUCAGGGUCAUUCUAUUUUUUCCAUCGGGUCAUUCUAAUUCAUAGAAUUUAAAACAAAGUAUGUUUUCUAUUUUCAUUUGAUUAUGUGUCAGAGUACCAUCAUCCUACCAUUUAUCGAACCG